UCAACUUUUUUCUUUUGACUUUUUAGGUGUAGUAUCUGUUCUUAUUAGCUUAAUAUCUAAUAGAUCCCCUAUAUGGGGACAUAUGAAUAUUAAACUUAUUUUUGAAUAUAGACGAAGUGCUAGGAGCUUGCUCCACCUUUGUCACGGGUUGGCCAGGUAUUGCAGUACCGCCUGGAUCGGCCCAAAUAAA